GCUGGAAGUUGGAUUCAAUGUUGGAUGAGCCUUCAUUAAGUACCAAAUCUACUUGCACCUCUACCUCAGAAUUCCUAGGGCUAUGCUGAAGGAGAAGCUGCUACCAGAUCCAGGAUGACAAUACUUACCAGAGGACAGAGGAAACUUUAUAUGACAUUAUAGUGCAUGGUUUCUAGUUUAGUGUUUUACCUGGGAUUUGAUUUGCAUGUGAAGUCAUAUUUCCUGGACUUUGGACUUCUAACAUUCUUUACCCUGUUUCAGAACUAUGGAUAUCCAUCGUAUUCAAGAAUAAAAAUGCUGCUGACACAAAAUACUUUCUAUAAAGCAUAGAAAAUUAUGUUUGAUUGUUUAAUAAACACAUUCAAAUUAUGUGCACAUAUGCAACCUAAAUGAGGCUGUUGUCAAAAGGCAAAGUACAGCAAAUUUAUCUUAAAGGUAUUUCAGUGGCUUUGUGAUGUUUGAAUCAGGCAACACUUCAUUUCAUGAAACAGAAGAAAUGCUCUAAUGAAGCUUGAGCUGAUUUAUACACAAAGAGAAACUGAAGAAAGCAUAUACAAAUAACAAACUGGGUGGUAAGCUGUUCCAAGAUCCUUUGGCAGAAGAUACAGAG